rnacentral:lncRNA from 1 species
AUGGGGACAGGGAACAGACAUGGGGACAGGGGAUGGACAUGGGGACAGGGGACGGACAUGGGGGCAGGGGACCAGGAAUAGGGGCUGGGAAUAGGGCAGAGGGGACAGGUAUAUGGGGAUAGGGGAUGGACAUGGGGACAGGCACAGGGAGUAGGGCCUGAGAAUAGGGGAUAGGUGACAAGGGACAGGUGUUUGUGGGUAGGGGACAGGCACGGGGACAGGGGACAAGGGGCCAGAGAAGGGGGACAGACAUGGGGACGGGGGAUCAAGGGCAGCGAACAGGGCCUGGGAAUAGGAUAUAGGGCUGUAGGGCUCAGGUGACAGUUAUAUAUGGAUGGGGACAGGGAAAGGGGACCUAGAAUAGGAUCUAGGGGCCAGGCACGGGGACAGGGAAUAGGGCCUGGCAUGGGGCCAGGCAGGGGGACAGGGGAUCGAGGACAGGGAAUAGGGCCCAGGAAUAGCUUGGGGUCCUGUGCUGGGGCCUAGGGACAGGGAUAUAGGGACAGGACCAAGGACUUGGGGGGAGAAAGUCCCAAAACAGGGGACAGGGCUUAGGAGAUAGGGGGCAGGAGUGGGGAAAAGGGUCUGGGGAUGGGGGAUAAGGCACGGGGACGAGGAAUGGGGCAUGGGGGUGGCCUGUAGGGCCCAGGGCUAUGGGGUACAGCACCUAUAGGGUGGGGAACACGGGGAAAAUUCCUAUUCUAAGCAUGUUCCUUGGGGUUUUAUUGGAUAAAGCCAGCCCUACAGACAGCUCCGUGCUCGCCGUCCCCAUCCCUGAGGGGAUCCUGCCCCAGUUUGCUCCCCCAAACCUACUGGGAGCGCUGGUGACAAACGGGACACGGGGGUGGCCCCGCAAGACGUGGAAAAUAACGCGGGGCCCACGAGGCGACCGUUCCCACCCAGCAACCCGUCCCCAAAGCCCCCGGCGCAGGUUAUCAACGGGAUUAAGGUUAUGAGAGCCUUGGUAGGUGCGGUUUGAUUUUAUGGAGCUAAUAAACCCCGUUUUUAUCAAAAAGGCA